rnacentral:rRNA from 2 species
AAAUUGAAGAGUUUGAUCAUGGCUCAGAUUGAACGCUGGCGGCAGGCCUAACACAUGCAAGUCGAACGGUAACAGGAAGCAGCUUGCUGCUUCGCUGACGAGUGGCGGACGGGUGAGUAAUGUCUGGGAAACUGCCUGAUGGAGGGGGAUAACUACUGGAAACGGUAGCUAAUACCGCAUAACGUCGCAAGACCAAAGAGGGGGACCUUCG